GGCCUGGUAGUUCAAUGGAUAGAAUAGGAGUUUCCUAAACUCUAGAUCCGAGUUCGAUUCUCGGCUGGGCUA
rnacentral:tRNA from 1 species